CUCUGAAAUAUUGUUGUUGUUGUUGUUUGAAAAAUAUAUAUAAAUGACCCUUACCUCAGAGUUAUGGAGAAUAGAUUAAAAGUGCUGCAGGGGAGACAUGGGUGAGUUAGCUCAGACUAACAAAUUUAGGAAGGGACGAGGAAAAAGGGGACCACACAGGCCAAAAAGUGAGUGUGUGGAGGUUUGUUUGCCCCUGUGCAAGGGGAAAGGAAGGACAUGAAUGAGGGAAAUGAGUUGGGUGUUGAUAAAUAUGUUGAAACAUCUGACCUCAACUUUUGGAGUUAAGAGUACAGUCUUUACAGACUAUUCAAAAUAAUUCUGGCUUUUCUUUCUCUUUCUCUUGCUUUUCUCAAUGAAAUCCUUAUGAAGUAUGUACUAAAAACAGGGCUGUGAGUUUCAAGAGGGCAGAGGCAUGUCUGUUCACUUCUUUGUGACUAGGACCUAGCUCAGUGCCUGAACCACGGUAGAUUCUCACCACCUGUUUGAUUCUGAUGAAUUCACUGAGAACACCGACUCAUUGGCACAGGCAGCACCUCCUUAAGAGUUUUCUUUUAAACCACCUUAGCAUUUAUGUGCUCCAACCUCAAAGCAACACCUGUCAAGUUUCUCUCCUCUGGCUAGUUCUCAGCCAAGUUGUCACCCACUUGGAAGAGAGUGAAACUAAAAUAGUUUAUUACCAUCUACUGCGCUACUAAGUACUGGACACUGUGUUAGUACCCAGCAGUCAGACAACAACAAUUUGUUGAUCAACGUGCUAGGCUCCAGGGUCACUAUGAAGACAUACCAGACAGCCUGUGUCCUCAAGGGAGCCUAUGAUAUAUUUGAAGACACAUGAUCUAAUCUUUAGAAAGGUUAAGUAAUACUAACACAGUGAUAUAAUCAAUAUCACAAGACUGCAUUAAGACAUAAUUGAAGUGUCAAAGAGAACAAUAAGUUUAAUAAAUGAUAUGGGAGAUAAGAAGAAGAAAGAAUUAUUCAGUUGAUCUAUUUUGGUUUCAUAGAGAAAAGUAAAUU
ensembl:lincRNA